UUUAGAAGAAUGUGUGGGGAAGAUUCGAAGAAAAAGAAAACCCUUCGUUUUUUGAAAAGAGUUCCUCCUGAUGAAGAUCUAAACUGCUGUUUACAGACUGAAGGCAGCUAAGUGCUACAAGACUUCCCUCCGGAGCGUGUCGCGUGGACCUGAGCUGCAUUUCCAUCUUGUGAUCUUUUGGAACUCCAGAGAGCACAGAUGGGUUUUUCUUACCCUGGGAAAAAGUGAAGAGCAGAGAGGAAGGACACUCAACAUGAGCCAAGGGAGGAGUCCCCAAAGCAGCCCACAGCAUGGAGCACCUCAGUACAGCUCAGGAGCAUGGCAGAGUUGAGUAAAGUCAUGCCACUGCAUCACCAGCAUACUUUCUGAGGUAUAUCUGACUCAUGAAUUCAGUGCAAGUUGCUACAGGUUUUCUCCAAAUUCCUGUUAAACUGUUUAAAAAAAAAAAAUGUUCUCUGUCCCUUUGCCAAGGAGGUAUUUAUUGAUAUUUAUGUGUUUCUUUCUCCUUCAUGUGCUAAUGUCACCCUGUGGAGACCUAGGAGCUCCUCUCCUGCCUGCUGAUGCAUGUGACAUGCGAAUGGGUGAUUCAAAACUUUUCAAAAACUAUGUUCUCUGUCAUUUGUUCCCCAUCUGCAGACAGAAACUCCAACCAUGCUGCAGGUAACAGGAUGCACACACUGGAGCAGAACAGCUCCAGUGUUUCUGUGUUAACUCCCACUGGGCGCUGCUUUGGGGCACUUGGCCUCCAAACCCCUGGCACCUUAAGGAAGAGCCUUUGCCACAAGAGCUGUGGCACUCCAGAGCCUUUGCCACAAGAGCUGUGGCUCUGGUGAUGGAGGGACAGAAGUAGGAGAUGAAGUGGCCAUGUACUCCAAGGAAACAGUUGUUUAAUAAAUUAACAGGCAAAUUAAAACAAUUAAGCCACAUUUCCUAUUAGCUGCUUGCAAUAAUGAAGUUUGAUGCUAACGAAAUCAGGCACUCAGUAUUUUAAUCUUUUGUUUUUACAUCUCCAUUCUGGAGGAAAAGCUGUGGGAAGGCACAAAGAGUGACACAGGGUCAAGCUAAGUUCAGGCUCAGCUCAGUGUCACGGUGCCGACUGCCUCCUUGGUGCUUAGGGUGGGAUCUUCCCUUCCCCCUUCC